rnacentral:lncRNA from 1 species
GUCCUGGUCCCGCUCUUUUCGCCAGUCUGGAGCAACGUUUGGAGGAGCCCAGCAGCCUGGUCCUUUCCGUAGCUUCCAAGGAUUUUUAGGAUCGCAGGAUUUACAGACCCGCGAAAACCCCUGGAGGACGUUAGCUGUGGAUAAAAGCCUCUGGAAAUGCCUACCGUCUUCCUUACCUCUUGUUUCUUCUUGGGUGACCUGCACGUCGUUUGGGAAGGGAGCCUCUCCGUUCUUGGAGGAUUACGUCUAACCAGCCACUUGCCACCCUCACUGGAAUACAUCUGCUAAGUUUUCCCAGGAUGGAGAAAUUACUACAUGUGGCAGAAGGCUAUUUUUCCCUUCUCCCGGAACUCUCCCAGAGCGCAGCGGUGCUCUCGUCCAGCAGGUCUCGGUUGACUGCAGAAAGGAGAGAGGAAGAGCGUCUGGAAGGGAGCUCAGAUCCCGCCAGGGUUUCCCAGGAAAUGAGAUCUAUCUGGAAAGUAUGAACCGUGAGAACAGCUUACUCACUAUUAGAUAAGUAUUAUGGAUGACUCAUGUCAGAAUACUGAUAGAUGUGCAGCUGACAUGAAUAUACUGUUUUAUAAGAGCUGUAACACUAUGCUGAGAGCCAGGAGUCUUAACUUGCCUCCCCCCCGCCUUGCUUUUCCACUAACUUGCUUUGGUUCUCUGACACCUUUUACUCCUUAGUUUGGCCAUCUAAACAGCUCAUAGAAGAGUUUUUGCCCCCCUCAAGGGGGUACAGGGUAUGGGGCAACUCAUCAACAUUAGUAGAUGGCAUCUUCAAAUGGAAGACAGUGUUGAAAGGCUGCAGUAUUGUAGCUAUUUUACAGGUCAACAUGCAGUUUUUCUGUUYUUAAUAUAUGCAGUUAGUGGCUUUCCUUGUUUCUUUGUGUUUUUGUUUUCUUUCCAGAGUCAUUACUCCCAACUUCCAGCAUGACAACCCAAAAGGUCCAGAAACAGUGUUUGGUACAACGAGGCCUCCUGGAAUGGCAUUAUCACUGURCAAACAGCAGGUGAUGAGACUAAAGAAGCAAAAGACAAGGGGGGAAAAUGCAUGCCUGGGUGAGAUUCACAUGGAGCUGAGCCGUAAAGGGACUUGCACUGUACUUCAUUUCAGACGGAUCCAGUGA